UACGAAGGGGGCUAGCGUUGUUCGGAAUCACUGGGCGUAAAGGGUGCGUAGGUGGCGCUGUAAGUCGGGUGUGAAAUUUCGGAGCUUAACUCCGAAACUGCAUUCGAUACUGCGGUGCUUGAGGACUGGAGAGGAGACUGGAAUUCAUGGUGUAGCAGUGGAAUGCGUAGAGAUCAUGAGGAAGACCAGUGGCGAAGGCGGGUCUCUGGACAGUUCCUGACACUGAGGCACGAAGGCCAGGGGAGCAAACGGG
rnacentral:rRNA from 1 species